AUUGAACGCUGGCGGCAUGCCUUACGCAUGCAAGUCGAACGGUAACAGGUCUUCGGAUGCUGACGAGUGGCGAACGGGUGAGUAAUACAUCGGAACGUGCCUAGUAGUGGGGGAUAACUACUCGAAAGAGUGGCUAAUACCGCAUGAGAUCUACGGAUGAAAGCAGGGGAUCGCAAGACCUUGUGCUACUAGAGCGGCCGAUGGCAGAUUAGGUAGUUGGUGGGAUAAAAGCUUACCAAGCCGACGAUCUGUAGCUGGUCUUAGAGGACGAUCGCCCACACUGGGACUGAGACACGGCCCGGACUCCUACGGGAGGCAGCAGUGGGGAAUUUUGGAAAAUGGGCGCAAGCCUGAUCCAGCAAUGCCGCGUGCAGGAUGAAGUCCUUCGGGUUGUAAACUGCUUUUGUACGGAACGAAAAGCCCCGGGUUAAUACCCUGGGGUCAUGACGGUACCGUAAGAAUAAGCACCGGCUAACUACGUGCCAGCCGCCGCCGUAA
rnacentral:rRNA from 1 species